CCUACGGGAGGCAGCAGUAGGGAAUCUUCCACAAUGGGCGAAAGCCUGAUGGAGCAACGCCGCGUGGGUGAAGAAGGUCUUCGGAUCGUAAAACCCUGUUGUUAGAGAAGAAAGUUCGUGCGAGUAACUGUUCACGUGUCGACUUUAUCAAACCAGAAAGCAACGGCUAACGACGGGACAGCAGCCGCGGUAAUACGUAGGUGGCAAGCGUUAUCCGGUUUGAUUGGGCGUAAAGGGAACGCAGGCGGUCUUUUAAGUCUGAUGUGAAAGCCUUCGGCUUAACCGGAGGAGUGCAUUGGAGACUGGGAGACUGGAGUGCAGAAGAGGAGAGUGGAACUCCAGGUGUAGCGGUGAAAUGCGUAGAUAUAUGGAAGAACACCGGUGGCGAAGGCGGCUCUCUGGACUGUAACUGACGCUGCUGUUCGAAAGCGUGGGUAGCAAACAGGAUUAGAUACCCUGGUAGUC
rnacentral:rRNA from 1 species